rnacentral:tRNA from 1 species
CGGAGCGUAGCGCAGUCUGGCAGCGCACUUGAAUGGGGUUCAAGGGGUCGCUGGUUCGAAUCCAGUCGCUCCGACAA